rnacentral:rRNA from 1 species
AACGAACGCUGGCGGCAUGCCUAACACAUGCAAGUCGAACGAACCCUUCGGGGUUAGUGGCGCACGGGUGCGUAACGCGUGGGAAUCUGCCCUUUGCUUCGGAAUAACUCAGGGAAACUUGUGCUAAUACCGGAUGAUGUCUUCGGACCAAAGAUUUAUCGGCAAGGGAUGAGCCCGCGUAGGAUUAGGUAGUUGGCGGGGUAAAGGCCUACCAAGCCGACGAUCCUUAGCUGGUCUGAGAGGAUGAUCAGCCACACUGGGACUGAGACACGGCCCAGACUCCUACGGGAGGCGGCAGUGGGGAAUAUUGGACAAUGGGCGCAAGCCUGAUCCAGCAAUGCCGCGUGAGUGAUGAAGGCCCUCGGGUCGUAAAGCUCUUUUACCAGGGAUGAUAAUGACAGUACCUGGAGAAUAAGCUCCGGCUAACUCCGUG